UACAGAGGUCCCGAGCGUUGUUCGGAUUCACUGGGCGUAAAGGGUGCGUAGGUGGUGAGGUAAGUCGGAUGUGAAAGCUCCGAGCUCAACUCGGAAAUGGCAUUGGAAACUACCUUGCUGGAGGGUUUGAGGGGGGACUGGAAUUCUCGGUGUAGCAGUGAAAUGCGUAGAUAUCGAGAGGAACACCAGUGGCGAAGGCGAGUCCCUGGAAACACCUGACACUGAGGCACGAAAGCGUGGGGAGCGAACAGG
rnacentral:rRNA from 1 species